rnacentral:rRNA from 1 species
GGCGGCGUGCCUAUAAUGCUCACCGAGCGAAGGAUUAGAAGCUUGCUUUCACCACGUUAGCGGCGGACGGGUGAGUAACACGUGGGCAACCUGCCUGUAAGACUGGUGAUCCCUUCGGGAAACCGAAGCUAAUACCGGAUAGGAUCUUCUCCUUCAUGGGAGAUGAUUGAAAGAUGGUUUCGGCUAUCACUUACAGAUGGGCCCGCGGUGCAUUAGCUAGUUGGUGAGGUAACGGCUCACCAAGGCAACGAUGCAUAGCCGACCUGAGAGGGUGAUCGGCCACACUGGGACUGAGACACGGCCCAGACUCCUACGGGAGGCAGCAGUAGGGAAUCUUCCGCAAUGGACGAAAGUCUGACGGAGCAACGCCGCGUGAGUGAUGAACGCUUUCGGGUCGUAAAACUCUGUUGUUAGGGAAGAACAAGUACAAGAGUAACUGCUUGUACCUUGAGGGUACCUAACCAGAAAGCCACGGCUAACUACGUGCCAGCAGCCGCGGAAAUACGUAGGUGGCAAGCGUUAUCCGGAAUUAUUGGGCGUAAAGGGCGCGCAGGCGGGUUUCUUAAAUCUGAUGUGAAAAGCCCACGGCUCAACCGUGGGAGGGUCAUUGUAAAAUGGGGGAACUUGAGUGCAAAAGA